rnacentral:rRNA from 1 species
CCGUGAUAAAGUAGCAUAAUCACUUGUCACUUAAUUGGUGACUGGAAUGAAUGGCUAAACGAAUCCUCCUCUGUCUCUGAAGAAAUCCUGGCAAAUUUGAAAUAGCAGUGAAGAUGCUGCUAAAUAAUUGUAAGACGAAAAGACCCUAUCGAGCUUUACUGGAAUCUUGCAAAGUAACAUAGUUAUUAAAGACAAAAUUAUACAAAUUGCAAGCCCGACAGUUUGGUUGGGGCGACCACCCCUAAAAACGUAUCAGGGGAACUCUAAAGGCUGUCAUAAUAUGAAAAACCGCCUUACUGGAGACAAACAAGUCAAUCAGUUAUAAUUUAUAGGACAUAUUGACCCGUUAUUUAGCUUCACAACAAAUAACGACUAUGAAAAAAGUUACCGUAGGGAUAACAGGGUAAUAUUUUCAGAGAGUUCAUAUCGAUGAAAAU